GUCCACGCCGUAAACGAUGGGCACUAGGUGUCGGAGGUGUCGACUCCUCCGGUGCCGAAGCUAACACAUUAAGUGCCCCGCCUGGGGAGUACGGCCGCAAGGCUAAAACUCAAAGGAAUUGACGGGGACCCGCACAAGCAGCGGAGCAUGUGGUUCAAUUCGACGCAACGCGAAGAACCUUACCUGGGCUUGACAUGUAGGUGACAGCCGUGGAAACACGGUCUCCCUUCGGGGCACCUUCACAGGUGGUGCAUGGCUGUCGU
rnacentral:rRNA from 1 species